CGCUCAUCCAGAGGGGCAGAGGGACACGGCCCGUUGAAGCCCCGGCAACCCUCCAGCCGGUUCUCGUACCGAUCAUCGUCGAUCGCUGCCGCGAGGCCCCGGCUAGGGAAGGUGCCAAAUCCGUCUCACGGCGAGAUGCGUCGUGAGGAAGAUGAGGA
rnacentral:ncRNA from 2 species